CGAGCGGCUGCGCGCCGAGCAGCGCGUGCUGCGCGCCGAGCGCGACGCCGCGGCGGCCGAGCUCGCGCAGGGCGAAGCGCACGCGCACGCGAAGCGCGACGCGGCGAACCGGUACGCCGAGCGGGUCGACGCGAUGGCGGCCGGCCGCGCGCCGUUCACGAUCGGCGAUUACGCGGCGUGCCGCCGCUAUCGCGACGCGCUGCUCGACGAGCACGCGCUCGCGAGCGCGCAAUGCGCGCGGCUGCGCGCGGCGCUGCAGGCGAAAGUCGACCGGCUUGCCGCGACCGCGCGCCGGAUCGCGCGCAACGACGCGCAGAUCGAC
rnacentral:misc_RNA from 3 species